ACUCUCUCCACGUGGGCCCCACCCACACCCAAUCAGAUUUACUCUCUCUCUCUCACAUUCACUCUCUCACUCACGCUCUCCCUCUUCCACUCUCGACAUCUCUCUCUCACUUUCUCCUUCUUCACUUCUUCUUCUUCUUUGCAACAAACACCAUCACCAUACUUCUUCUUCCCUCCUUGGCCAAGCAGCCGCCACCCAUGGCCAACCACCGCCACCACCGCGCUCUCCUCACGCGAGCCAGAGCACCACCACCUUCUCCCUCACGAACCAGCCCCAUCAAGCCAUCAUCUUCCUCUUUUCCUUACCUCUGGUUCAGAUACGAGCACACCACCAACGUCCAGCACCACCGCGAGCACCACCACCACCAGGAUUGACCAAAAACGGCGCCAAACAGAGGAGUUUGAAACCCUAACUUCAGCCACCUUCAAGCUUCGAUCUCCGGCGAACCCCUUAGCUUUUGGAGAAACGAAUACCACCACUGAACUCCCCUCAUCAUCAGCUUCAAAACCCCUAAAGAAAUUUCUGAUUCUGACCAUCUCCGCCGGAAACCGCCGCCAGCCGCCGUCAACCACCGUCUUCUCCGGCCAACCUUCGCCGGAGAAGGAACUGAACUCAGAAAUAAGGAGCUCUCCUCCUCCUCUUGCUGAAUUGAUUAUCAAUUUUGGGUAAGAGAUUAAUCCUCCCUUCCAAUUUCUGUUUUACCCCUUUCAAAACCCUAAUCCAUGCUCUGAUUCAUCUCUUAUUUUGCGUGUCCAAGUUUUGUGUUAUUGCCGUCAGCCUUGAUGAUCAUGCUUGGAGAGGGCAGCCAUGACCAGCCAAGGAGAACCUUACCACUGCCUUCAACUUUGAUAGGUAUGCUUAUGAAAGGUACGAAGAACGGAAGCACCUUGCAUCGAAGCUACACAAUGGAAUAAAGCGAGUCUACAUGGGGAAAGCAAAUAUGUGAUUGGAUUGGAGUUGCAACUUAGUAAGGGAGUUGGCUAAGACGACGAAAGUUGGUGAUAUGAGCCGAUGCUACUCCAUGUGGAAGGACUAUAGAAGACUCGAAGAAUAGAGUCGGGUGUAAGGCUAGAGCCUUUGGGUAGGUUCCGGUGCAUUGCUUUCCUAUGGUUACCCAGUGUGGAAAUCAUAGGGAGUAUAUCGGAUCUAUGGAGUCAUUGCAUAGUGGGUCCGUUGUUAGAUCUUAUUCUAUUUGUCCUGUCCUUUAUGUUGUGCCUUGGUCAAGGCCAGAUGUAAAUUAUUUACGGUUGGGAGUAUGCAUUACAUGUUUUAGAAAUGCUUCGAAAAGGAAAAACAAAAAUACUCACAUUUAUAAAUCCCUUUUGAAAAAGAUUGCAUAUUUACUUUAACAUGUU